rnacentral:lncRNA from 1 species
UCUAAACAUGAUUUAAACAAUACUAAAUAGCGGAAAUAUCGAUAACAAUGCGGAAAGUCCAAUCCGACACAGCCCUAACCAGGGUGUCACAAGUCACAAGCAUCUCUAAACCAUAAUACUAGUCUGCUAAAGUCUUAAACUACUACAAGUGUUUGAAAUCAAAAAGAAAUGAUAGAGAAGUAGAGACACGGGACUGCGGACGUCAACAACUACCUCGUAGUCUCCAAAAACCGCCUGGAACUGGAGGAAUCAGCACUCAGGAGCAGUACCAGCUACGCCUGAAUCUGCAUACAGGUUGCAGAGAGUAAAGUGAGUACUCCAACUCAGUGAGUAACAAAUUUAAAUAACGACUGAAAGUAAGAAAACACGUAAAACAUAAGGCAUUCUAUACUGAAGCAGUAAAAAAAUCACUUAAAACAGUAAAACAGUGAAGAGUCAAGUAAAAUCCCUUUUUAACAAGUAAAACAAGUAAUUGAUAGGUAAGUGAACAAAUAGAAGUUCGCCCCUCGGGCAUAGUAUCAAUGAAUCUGCCCCUCGGGCAACAUCUCAGAACAGUACCAGCCCCUCGGGCUCAAUCUCAGAACAAUAUCAUCCCCUCAGGCUCAAUCUCACAUUACAAUGGGUACCCGCGCUCACUGGGGGUGUAUAGACUCCGGAAGGGGCCCCUUAUGGCCCAAGCGCAUUAUCAAGCCAUCUCGUAGCAUCAAAUCUAGGCCCUCGGCCUCAUAUCAAUCAAGCCACCUCGUGGCAUAUUUGUGUAUCUCAGGUCAUCGGCCUCAUAUCAGUAUCAAUGUAUCCUCAUAACUAGGCCCUCGGCCUUACUCAGUCUAAAAAUCAUCACAAGCCCUCGGGCAAUAGUAAAACAGUAUUUUUCAGCCCAAAACAUCAUUUAAAAUAUUAUUUAAGUCUCAAAACUAAGUAAAAAUGGUUAAGUAGUAAAACAGUGGAAAAUAACGUGACUGAGUUCAAGUAAUAAGUCAAAACAAUGAGGAAAUAGUAAUAAACAUCACCGAAGGAUUCAAAUAGUUGGCACGAAGCCCAAAUAUGGCAAUCAUCCCAAAUCAUGAUGAUAGUAAAUAAGUUUCAGUUAAAUACGCGCAAAAUCAUCAAUCGGGACGGACCAAGUCACAAUCUCCAAUAGUGCACGACCCCACGCUCGUCAUCAAGCGUGUGUCUCACCUCAAUAUAGCACUACGAUGUGCAAUUCUGGGUUUCAAACCCUCAGAGCAUUAUUUACAAUCAUUACUCACCUUGAACCGGCUAAAUCUCUAACUCGCGACGCCUUUGCCCCUUGAAUCGGCCUCCACGCGCAUCGAAUCUAUCCAAAAUUAGAAGGAAUACGUCAAAAUAUGCUAAGGGAACAAAGCCCAAGCGAAAACAAUCACCAAAGGGCACGAUUCCCGAAAUUACCAAAACCUGAGCCUCAGUCCCACGUCUCAAAUUCGGAUAAAAUUUACAUUUUUAGAAUCCUCAUACCCUCACGAGUCUAACCAUACCAAAAUUAUCCAAUUCCAGUACAAUUUGGUCCUUCAAAUCAUCAUUUUAUAUUUUUGGAAGUUUCCACAAAUUUUCUUCCCAAAUUCCAUCUCAAAUCACGAAUUAAAUGAUGAAUUCAAGGAUAGAUUCAUGUACUCUAGCCAAAUCUGAGUUAGAAUCACUUACCCCGAUGAAUUUCUUGAAAAACCUUCGAAAAAUCGCCAAAAUCCGAGCUCUCUAGGUCAAAAUAUUAAAUAAAACCCAAAACCUCUUAUUUAUAGAGUACCCCACAGAUUUCCACCUCUGCGGUCCGCACAAAAAUGACCGCAGUCCGCACAAAACCAGUGUGGUCCGCAAAAAAACGAUUGCGGUCGCACAUGUUUUCAUCUGCAAUGACAGACUUUAGUAUUUUGGCCAUAACUUUCGCUACAGAUCUCCAAAUUAUGAUAUCCUUACCUUUCUUAAAACUGCACACGAAGGACUACAACUUUUGUUUUUGAAUCAUCUCAAACUUUCUUGUAGAUCAAAACAUAUGAGCUUCCGAAGCAGGACCGGUGAAUAGCUCCCCACCGCGGCCGCACUGCAUUUUGUGGGGUCCGCACAGCACCUACCUUGGCCGCACUUCUUUUUGUGCGGUCCGCACAUCACCUACCUUGGCCGCACUUCUUUUUGUGUGGUCUGCACAGCACCUACCUUGGCCGCACUUCUUUUUGUGCGGACCGCGCUAGUGGGUUCUGAGGCCUGCAACCCUUCUGGACCUGCUACAGCUAUGAUUUUCAGCCUNNNNNNNNNNNNNNNNNNNNNNNNNAUCAAAAAGUCUAUCAAAUCUCGUCCGAAUGACCUGAAAUUUUGCACACACAUCCCAAAUGACACAACGAAGCUACUGCAACUCUCGGAAUUACAUUCCAAGCCUAUAUCAAAAUCUCGCCUAUCAACCGGAACCGCCAAAAUAUCAACUUCGCCAAUUUAAGCCUAAAUCUUCUCUACAACUCCAAAACACAUUCCGAUUGCGCUCCUAAGUUAUAAAUCACCUCCCGAAGCUAACCGAACCAUCAGAACUCACUUUCGAUCCUUAUAACACAUAAGUCAACAUCCGGUUGACUUUUCCAACGUAAGCCUUCUUAAAAGAGACUAAAUGUCUCAAACUUCACCAAACUCAUUCUGGACUCGAUCCGCCCAAUCCGAUACCACUAAAAUACGGAUAACGAAGCAUAAAGAAGCUAAAAUGGGGGAAACGGAGCGAUAACUCUUUGAGACGACUGGCGGGAUCGUCACAGUGCGAAACUUGUGAGGUCAAAAAGACAAGCAAAAGUUGUAAAGCUAAAUAAGGACAGUAGGGUAUCCAUUGCCUAAAAAGGUGCAAUUUUGCUUCUUUUGCUUUAGCCCAAAGAAGAGAGAAAAACACAUUAUAUACAGAUGGUAAGAGAGUCGCGCAACAUAGAAUGUAAGAGAAAGUUUAAACUUAAAUAUGAAGCUCCCUGCAUUUGACUAUCAAGAUUAGCCUACGUUAAAAAGAAUGUAAAUUACUAACAUACCUUCCCAUAAAUACUCAAAUACUUGACUGUAUAAGUUAUAUCAUGUACUGAACAAUAAUAACGAUUGCAAUGCAAAUGCAUAUUUGAUGCAAAUUCUACACAAAUCCCAUUUGCCCAUCCCAAAUGCAACUUGAAUAAGUGGAAAAAAUUGAGUAAGAAGGUGAAGAAGAAGGUGAGUGAAUGGAAAACAUUGGUAGAAGAUGCUACUAGAGUAGAGGGUUCAUCAAGCUUGAAUUUAGAUAAAUUAGUGAAGGAUGUACUUCUGUCCAAGAAUUCAGUUCAUUAGUAGAUAUAUUGCUUAACUCAAAAUGAACAAAAAAAGGUCAAACCCGAAAGUAUGAGUUUCUUACUUUUAGAAGAAAAAAGAGAAUGGCAACAAGGAUACAAGCAGUAUCAAGUAAACAAACAACAAAUUGGAGGGGUAGUAAAACACAUCUUAUUUCCACCUCUAUAACUCCAAUCUUUAUUCAUGUACAAUUUUCUUUUUCAUUUUUUUUCCUUAUUUUAUGUCCUUUCUGAACUUUAUAUGAAUGCACUCUUGGCAUAUAAUGUGCGACCAAUUUAACUUAUGGUUUAAAAACCAGGAAAAAGGUAAGAAAAUGAUCAACUAAUAUAGUACCUAGUUGUUUAAAAAGUACUGGAGAUGUAACUAUUACAAGUAAUGGAGAACUAGUAGCUAGUAGCUAGUAGCUUAAAAAGAAUGGCCACAACCCCCCCCCCCCCUACCCAAAAGGCCAAAAGUACCGUCUAGUAUUGACAAUCAUACAUCCCGUCUCGAUUCCUAUUAUGCAACAGAGGCUAGUCUUGAUUAACAGUUGCAGACCAAAAUGAAACUAAAGACAGAAUGCCAGACUCAAACCCCAUGUGAUUUAUGCUACUAAUUGCCAAACUUUUACCACCCCAAACCAAUCAAUAUUCUUUUCAACAAACACAAUCCUAAAGAAUCUGUGACCCAUUUUUCUAAGAUGACAUUUUUCGAGUGCAGAAAAAAUAGUAGAGCAAUAAACAUACAACAACAAGAACAAACACAUCCCCGAGUAUAAUGGCGAUUAUAGCUAAUGAACUAGAAAUUCAGAAGAACAAAUGCAUCAUUUUAGGGGACUCAUAAGAAAAUUAACUUCAUCCUUUGCCUCUGAAGAAGGCUUAAGAAAGAUCAGUACUAUUAGAAGAAAGAGCAGUACUAAUGAGCAGUACUAUUAAACUAGCUUAAAACUCCUUACAGCUCUCAGCAUUCACCACAUCCUCAGACUUAAAACUAAUGAGACUUUUACAGUUUUUGGAGCUCUUUGCAUUUUGAAAAGCUCAUUAAUAAGUUACCAACAAAUAAGCUAGUUUAAAAUAAAGCUCAUUAAUUUUACAUGGGUUGUCUCCGCGCGCGGAUCGACUCAAGUCGUUUUUAUUCUAUCCUUCAACUUCUUCAUGUGGAUUUCCUCAAAUACCUCAUUAUGAGUAACUAGUCUUCCUUUAGCCUUUUCCUGAAAAAUAAACAAUAUCUUAAGAAAUGAUAUAUUCCCUAUAUAUUCCCAAUUACAUCUGGAAAGAACUUAAUCAUCUUCGUUAUUCUUCUUCCUAUCUCUGCCAUUAUAUUCGCUCUUUAACGUGCCAAUUCAUAAAUGCACAUAAGUUAACCAAAAGAUUACUUUUUGGAUAGAAUAGACUUUUCAACGAAAGAGAAGUGGGUGAAAAGUUGAAAAAUAAUGUUCAGAGAAAAGAUGUACAAUGUACUAGUCCCCUAAGCAGUACAUCACUAUUUUGAUCAUUUUCAUAUAUUUUCACACGGCACACCUGCUCCUUAUAUACCUAAUUACUGUUUUAAUAUUUCUCCUUUUAAUGCUUAAUAAGUACUAUCUUAGGCAAAAGCACUUCCUAAGCACUAUCCGUUUCUGGUUAAAUUAACUCGUGCUGCAUAAUCAGAAGAGCUUGAAGGGAAAAAGGAUAACUAGAAAAACUAAUUUCGAACAUUCGAAGCAAUAGAAUAUCUUGGUUUACAUAUCUAAAAUACGAAAUGACCAGUAGUCAUGCUGAUUAUAGGUUUGACGAAUACACUUUACUGAGAGUACAUCUGAUCUAAGUAAAGAAAACCAAAUUUAAAUUUAAAAAUCAGCCUUUUCACAAACAAUGAACUUACUCCAUAAUGCCAAAUCACCCAUCACUUAAUUCACACACACACAAGACACAAAUCUCAAAACCCCGCAUGCUCUAACAAUAGAUAUCUAUUUCAUAAAUAAAAAAGAAAAAACUUACAGUACAACAUACUUUUUCAACAUUAUUAGAUGUCAAGCUAAAUAUAUCAACAACUACUCAGAUUAUAACAUGUUAACUGAGAACUUACUCACAUAUGCGUAGAUAGGAGAUAUGAAGUAUAUUACUCUGAAUGAUAGUCGAAAACUUUGCCAUGACUGGCGUAACAUAGUACUGCUGGAUCCUGAAGACUGUAAGCCCCUUUCUAGGUGAGUUGAUGUCUUCUGUUAUAACGAUUAAAGUUUAUUAAAGUAUAUAUCGAGGUUUGAAACAGUAUAAAAUUAAGAGAACAACAUUAAUUUUUUAAACCUAGGGUUUAAAACAGUAUAAAAUCCCUAAAAUUCGAAGUCUUUUGGGGGAAAUCAAAACGAAAAAAGGAGAUCGGGUGAGUGAGUGAGAGAGAGAGAGGUCGACUUACCUGGGAAUGGAAACUCGUCUCUGCGUGGAGUGAGAGAGACGAAAAAUUUUAUUUUGAGUCUCAUACAACUGAUACUAGUUGUAUGAGCAACUUUUUUGUCUCACAGUUUUAUGGACCCAGAUUUCUGUAGACCAGAAGUAUAUUGGGGUCCACAAAUUUGUAAGACAAAAAUGAGUCUCAUACAACUAGUAUAAGUUGUAUGAGACACAAUAAAUCUUCUCGAGAGAAACAGAGGGGGAA